CCUACGGGAGGCAGCAGUGGGGAAUAUUGCACAAUGGGGGAAACCCUGAUGCAGCGACGCCGCGUGAGUGAAGAAGUAAUUCGGUAUGUAAAGCUCUAUCAGCAGGGAAGAAAAUGACGGUACCUGAGUAAGAAGCCCCGGCUAACUACGUGCCAGCAGCCGCGGUAAUACGUAGGGGGCAGGCGUUAUCCGGAUUUACUGGGUGUAAAGGGAGCGUAGACGGCAGUGCAAGUCUGGAGUGAAAGGCGGGGGCUCAACCCCCGGACUGCUCUGGAAACUGUACGGCUGGAGUGCAGGGGAGGUAAGUGGAAUUCCUAGUGUAGCGGUGAAAUGCGUAGAUAUGAGGAGGAACACCAGUGGCGAAGGCGGCUUACUGGACUGUAACUGACGUUGAGGCUCGAAAGCGUGGGGAGCAAACAGGAUUAGAUACCCUAGUAGUC
rnacentral:rRNA from 1 species